rnacentral:tRNA from 1 species
AACCAAUCUCCCUAAGAC